rnacentral:rRNA from 1 species
AGAGUUUGAUCCUGGCUCAGGAUGAACGCUGGCGGCGUGCCUAAUACAUGCAAGUCGAACGCACAGCGAAAGGUGCUUGCACCUUUCAAGUGAGUGGCGAACGGGUGAGUAACACGUGGAUAACCUACCUCAAGGUUGGGGAUAACAUUUGGAAACAGAUGCUAAUACCGAAUAAAACUUCGUAUCGCAUGAUACAAGGUUAAAAGGCGCUACGGCGUCACCUAGAGAUGGAUCCGCGGUGCAUUAGUUAGUUGGUGGGGUAAAGGCCUACCAAGACAAUGAUGCAUAGCCGAGUUGAGAGACUGAUCGGCCACAUUGGGACUGAGACACGGCCCAAACUCCUACGGGAGGCUGCAGUAGGGAAUCUUCCACAAUGGGCGAAAGCCUGAUGGAGCAACGCCGCGUGUGAUGAAGGCUUUCGGGUCGUAAGGCACUGUUGUAUGGGAAGAACAGCUAGAGUAGGGAAUGACUUUAGUUUGACGGUACCAUACCAGAAAGGGACGGCUAAAUACGUGCCAGCAGCCGCGGUAAUACGUAUGUCCCGAGCGUUAUCCGGAUUUAUUGGGCGUAAAGCGAGCGCAGACGGUUGAUUAAGUCUGAUGUGAAAGCCCGGAGCUCAACUCCGGAAAGGCAUUGGAAACUGGUCAACUUGAGUGCAGUAGAGGUAAGUGGAACUCCAUGUGUAGCGGUGGAAUGCGUAGAUAUAUGGAAGAACACCAGCGGCGAAGGCGGCUUACUGGACUGUAACUGACGUUGAGGCUCGAAAGUGUGGGUAGCAAACAGAAUUAGAUACCCUGGUAGUCCACACCGUAAACGAU